rnacentral:lncRNA from 1 species
GAUGAACUGAAGAGGAGGGGCGAGCUUGCGGGCGCAGAGGCCUCAAAUACAGGAUAAUUGCUCAAUGGUCUGGUCAUGCAGUAAAUAGUCGCGGUUUCAACUUUCAACAGUCAAACGAAACAGCCAAGCUAGUUGAAUGGACAUUUAUUCCGGUGGUGAUCGUCAACCACGUAGCACCCACAGAAGGGCUGAGCCGGUCUGAGUUUGCAUGGUGGAGAGGAGAGGAGUGAGCGAGAAGGUGUGGACAUGAGCUUUACGCAUCUGGUUACCGGCUCACGUCAAAGGUAUUUGCCAUAACAACUGUUGCUAUUAAGUUGCUAUUUGUUUUCAAGCUGGCUGGUAUAAUUUCUCACAUCACAUCAGCUUCUCACCACAUUCUCUUUUGCAAGGCAACGUGUUAUUGCUGCGAGAUGGACUCAGAUGAGAAAACUGCCGUUUGGUUAUACAAAAAAGUGUUAGGUUCCCCUCAGCGUAACACUUUGCUCUAACAGGUUAUACGUGCUAACCUCUUUUGAUACUUUGUUUUGUAAGCAAGAGGGGACAGCAGGCCAUCACGUAUUUUAGUAUAGCUAUAUGUACCAAACAAUCUUGUACCUGUUAUCACUUUCUCAGGGUCUCGAAGUUCCAAAGGAUUUUUAUAAUCCUCGGGACUUUUUUUCUCCUACAUCACCUCUUUGAAUUUGGUUUGUAGGAUUGCAAUAUAUGGAAUUUUGUUUGUAAGGAUUGAUUCACAGUAUUUUACGUUUACUUAAGUUAUUAACUUCUGAGGAAGAUUUGUGUAUUUUCUCUUUUAGCAAUCAAACAACCUUUGUAUAUGAUUUAAGUUGGCACGAACAUUAAGAAGAGACUUUCCUU